rnacentral:rRNA from 1 species
AUGACAAGCUUAUCAUGCAUGCAUUAUAGAUUGACAACAUAUCAGAGGAAGAAGGAAAAGGAAACCAAACAGGAAGAAGGAAAAGGAAACCAAACAGGAAGAAUCAAACCCUGCUUUAUCUUUACCAAAAGGACAUGCUUUCUUAUGCCGCAGCAACAAGCAAAGAAGCUGCCUUCGCCCCUCUUCACUACCUUUUCUUGUGAGGAUGGAACUGGGAUAGCGGGAACCAGAGGCCUAAGCAAAGAAUCUUGUCCAGUUCUCUUCUUCUUCUUCAAUGAAAUGAGCUUCGGGUUAGUCGCAGCUUCUCCCAGCUCUUUAUAUCCCAUCCUCGAGAUCCUCCAUUUGUCAGACACACGGGUUCCAAGGAUGCGAACCAAACACGCUCUUGUCCCAUUCGAGAGCACAGGCCCCGUGCGUCCUCCUCAUCUCUCCAGAACUGCUGGUGGCGUCAUCUUUCUGUGCCUCCUGUACUGCCUGAGGAUGGACACCGCCAUCGGCGCAACGAAGUGGGUGCUGGGCAAGGCGCUGGCCCCCGUCACGGAUGGCUUGCUGCAGUCCUGGGCAGCUAGUGUUGAGCUUGAUCGCAACAUCGACGCCCUCAAGAUGGAGCUGUUGUAUGCGCAUGGGAUGCUUGAGAAUGUGCACGGCAGGGACAUCCAUGGCAUUGCGCUGAAGGAGCUCCUGCUCAAGCUGCAGCAGCUGGCAUACGGGGCUGAUGAUGUACUGGAUGAGCUGGAGUACUUCCGCAUCCAGGACGCCCUUAAAGGAACCUACCAUGCCACUGACAUGAAUGCUGUGGGUUUCAUCCAGGGCCUCCGCGUCAAUGUUGAACACACGGCGAGGCAUGUUGCCAACAAACUUAAGUGCCUCCCGUGCUUGGGUGCUGCUAGCCAUGAUGGUGACCAAGAAAGUGAUGCUGGUGUUCACCAAGAAAAUUAUGGCAAGCAAGCAUGCCUCUCUGGUGUACGCUUGUGUGGCAGGCAGAGGAUCGGCUCCUCGCCACCGAUGCCCGCCAACAAGGGUGUCAAGAAUGUUGAUGGCAAAUGCAUGCCCAAGGUCAUCUCAACUGCUCGCAAUGCUGCCCACACUUUCGGUAAACACUUUCCAUGCUACUCUCCCAUAUCUGUCCAUGAUGAUGAUCCUCAACCUAUCAUUUCAAAGUGUGCAAGCCAGAGAGACUGUGAUAUAGAAACACCAGAAUUGAUGUUUGAUAGGGUGCAAAUGUCUAAAACAAUGAUGGACAUGGUAGAGCAGCUGAAGGAAGUAUGUGCUAAGGUCUCCAUAAUUCUUAAUCUAGAUUUGUUGGGCUCCAGCCGUAUGCAUACCAAAGAUAUUGCUAAAAACAGAUCCAAGACCACAUCCGAGAUUAUAGAACCUGAGUUAUACGGGAGGGAUGACCAAAAAAAGAAAAUUGUAGAUUGCAUUAUUAGUCGCGAGUACUGUCCCAAUAAACUUAACGUGCUUCCAAUUUUUGGACCUGGGGGUAUUGGAAAAACAACUUUUACGCAACACAUAUGCCAAGAAGUAAAUAGAUAUUUCCAGGCUUCAAUUUGGAUAUGUGUCUCUUUCGAUUUCAGUGCAGAUUGGUUGGCGCAAGAGAUGGUCAAAAAAAUCGAUAGUGUUGUUGGUGAAAAGGCUAACGCUAGUGCCGACGAACUUAUCCAGCAAAGAUUAAAAGCUAAGAGAUUCUUACUUGUCUUGGAUGAUGUGUGGACAUAUCAGGAGGAUGAGUGGAAAAAACUAAUAGCACCUUUAAAGAAGGUAGAGUCUGAGGGUAAUUUGAUUAUAGUCACAACCCGAAUACCAAAGGUAGCAGAAAUGGUUAAGACAACCAAUGGUGAACUAAAACUGGAAAGACUAGAUGAUGCAGACACCAUGCGUUUUUUCGAAACAUGUAUAUUUGGUAACAAGCAACAACCAUGGGAAGAACAUCCUGAAUUAUCUGAGAUUGGUCACAAAGUAGUGGACCAUUUGAAAGGUUCCCCUCUUGCAACUAAAACUGUAGGUAGGUUACUAAGAAACCAACUUACUUUGGACCAUUGGAAAAGAGUUCUAGAAAGCAAAGAGUGGGAACUACAAACGAGUGAGAGUGACAUCAUGCCAGCCCUCAAACUUAGCUAUGAUUUUCUCCCUUUCCAUCUAAAACAAUUGUUUGUAUAUUGUGCUUUGUUUCCAGAAGAUUACGAAUUUGAUAGCAAGGAGUUAGUUCAACUGUGGAUAGGACUAGGUAUUUUGCACCCAUAUGAUCAAAAUAAAAGGACUGAAGAUGUUGGACUAGACCAUUUGAAUGAGUUGGUCAAUUACGGGUUUUUGAAGAAAGACAAAAAAAAAGAUGGUCGUCAUUAUUAUGUUAUUCAUGAUCUAUUGCAUGAAUUGGCCACCAAGGUUUCAUCGUAUGAAUGCGUUAGUAUAUCUAGUUCUAAUAUCAGGUCCAUACACAUCUCCUCGUAUAUACGUCAUUUAUCCAUAAUUGUAGAUGCUAAAGAUGUUAAUGAUAGAAUCAGUUUUGACGACUAUAAAAAGGAUUUGAGUGCAUUAGGUAAACGACUGAAAGUUGAAAACCUACGUACUCUGAUGUUGUUUGGGAAAUACCAUGGAAGCUUCGCCAAGACCUUUUGUGAUCUGUUUAGAAAAGCUAAAGCCCUUCGCACUAUUUUUCUAUCUGGAGCAUCAUACUCUAUGAAGGACAUUCUGCAUAACUUUUCAAAAACUAUCCAUCUUCGUUACCUAAGGAUUGAGCCAUCACAUAACACAGGCAACAUCGACUUUCCUAGUAUGCUAUUCAGAUUUUAUCAUCUAGAGAUAAUAAAUCUUCAAAGAUGCAAUGUCCCUGUUUCGAUAAGACGUAUUACCAACCUUGUAAAGCUGCGUAAUAUGCCUCUAGUUCUGUCUGACAUACCUGAGGUGGGAAAACUUAAAUUGCUUUCAGAAUUAAGAAGAUUUGAAGUUGGAAAACAAACUAAUGGUUUCGAACUAAGUCAGCUAGCGCAAUUAACAGAGCUUGGAGGGUCACUUAGCAUUUAUAAUCUUGAAAAGGCGCAAGAAAAAGGGGCCCGGGGAAAGGAAAUAAGGCCAAUACACAGAAACCACUUGCGUGAACUAACAUUAGAGUGGGAUGUGCAACGAUCUAACACGGAUCCUACAAGAGAAGGAAAUGUUCUUGAAAAUCUUGUACCGCAUAGUGACCUUCGAGAUCUUUGCAUUAGAGGGCACGGAGGCACUAGUUGCCCAACAUGGCUAGGUGAGAACCUCUUGGUCAAAAAUUUGGAAUCGCUUCACUUGGCUGAUGUAUCUUGGAAAACUUUUCCACCAUUAGGAGAGUUCUGGUUGGUUGAUGAGCUCCGUGACGAGUGCAAGUGUUGCAUCUCAAACCCAAACUUCCAAAAAAAAUGUCUUGAAAAAAAAGGUUUUCCAAAUUUGAAAAAGCUAGUGUUUGUUAAGAUGCCAAAAUUGACAAAGUGGGCUGGAAAUCAAACUUGCGGGUUCUUCUUCCACCUGGAAGUGCUCAUUAUUGAAGACUGCCCUGAACUUAAGGAGUUGCCCUUUUCAUGUUCUACUUGCUCUCAACCAGCGCAAGAAGGAGCGAACCUGAGGACCUUGUUCCCUAGACUACGUGAGUUCACGGUUGUAGGAUGCCCAAACCUGAGGACAAUGCCUCCUAUCCCUUGGACCCGUACUCCAUGCUCUAUUAAGAUAGAACAAUCAGGGUCAAAUUUUCAGCUACGCACUAACUCAGAAGGAAUGUACAUACCAGGAUUAUGCUUGUCCAUUGUGGCAGCGGAUGGUGCAGAUAGCUUGCUUUGGAAUAAGUUGUCUUUCUGUUAUUUGAGUGGCCUAAAAGAGUUUUCUCUAUUCAAUUGCCCUCCUUUGCCCUUGCACAUGAUCCAAAUGCUAACAUCUCUGCAGCACCUCACUAUAAGUGGUUGUUCGAGUAUUGUUCUGUCGCCAAUCAGAGGCGAGAGCCAUGUCACAUAUGAGGUUCCAGUUGAAGAACUCUGCAUUUCUGACAGCGGGGCUAGCGGGAAAGAACUGACUCAACUGCUCUCUCAUUUACCCAAGCUCACCAGCCUGAGUAUAGCUGAUUGCGAAAAGAUAACAGAACUUGGUGUGUCUAAUCAGCAGAGUGGAUCACAGCAGCAAUACACAAACGAAGAGGAGGAAAUAGUGGCGACGGCAGAAGGAGGACUGCUGCUCUUGCCUACCCAACUACAGGAGUUAAAAGUCUACAAUUGCCGUGAGCUGAGAAUAGUCCCCAAUUCUGGUUCAGGGGGCGGCAACAACGAAGCAGCAGGAGGUCUCCAGCGUCUACGCUCCCUCCGCCAAGUGAUCGCAGAUGGUUGCCCCAAAUUGCUUUCCUCCUAUUCGGGCUCCUCGUCUUGUUUCCCUUUCCCGACCUCCCUUGAAACACUCGAACUAGUCAACGUUGAACAAGUCAAUUUGGACCUCACAAACCUAUCCGACCUGAAAGUACUCCAUCUUGGCCACAUGGAGGACCUCACAAAACUAAGCGUCAGCCGUUCCUCAAAACUACAUACCUUGAGCAUACGAGUUUUGGCAGAGUCCAUCUGCAGCCUGCUCUCUACCUCCCUCACCACAUUGUCCUUCUAUCUUAGCAAAGAGGUGGAGCCCAUCACAGGAGAGGCCCUAGUGCUUCUCACCUCCCUCCGAGAGCUCGGAUUUUAUUCCUGCCACAAAUUGCAGUUCCUCCCUGCAGGUCUACAUACACUUGACAGCAUCAAGCAAUUAUCUAUUCGUUCAUGCCCAUCCCUCUGGUCGCUGCCCAAGGACGGCCUCCCUAGUUCUUUGCAGAAAUUAGAUAUCUCCGGAUGUUCCAUGAAAUCAUUGCCCAAGGACAGCCUCCCGAGUUCUCUGCAGCAAUUAGAGAUCUCCCGUUGUUCUAAGCUCGAAUUGCUUCCCACUUUUUCGGACGGCCUCCCAACUUCUCUGUGGAAAUUAAAGAUUGAGGAUUGUCCUGCCAUCAAAUCGGUGCCCAAGGACGCCCUCCCGAGUUCUCUGCAGGAAUUAGGCAUCACGAGUUGUCCUGAAAUCAAAUCGCUUCCCGAGGACGGGCUCCCCAAAUCCUUGCGAGUACUAGAUGUGGUCAGUUACGGCAACAGCGAGCAGCUUAAAAGGCAGUGCCGCAGGUUAAUAGGGACGAUUCCAAUAAUCUUCGCCUGA